AGAGUUUGAUCCUGGCUCAGAUUGAACGCUGGCGGCAGGCCUAACACAUGCAAGUCGAGCGGUAACAGGGAGAAGCUUGCUUCUCUGCUGACGAGCGGCGGACGGGUGAGUAAUGUAUGGGGAUCUGCCUGAUGGAGGGGGAUAACUACUGGAAACGGUAGCUAAUACCGCAUGAUGUCUUCGGACCAAAGCGGGGGACCUUCGGGCCUCGCGCCAUCAGAUGAACCCAUAUGGGAUUAGCUAGUAGGUGAGGUAAUGGCUCACCUAGGCGACGAUCUCUAGCUGGUCUGAGAGGAUGAUCAGCCACACUGGGACUGAGACACGGCCCAGACUCCUACGGGAGGCAGCAGUGGGGAAUAUUGCACAAUGGGCGCAAGCCUGAUGCAGCCAUGCCGCGUGUAUGAAGAAGGCCUUAGGGUUGUAAAGUACUUUCAGUCGGGAGGAAGGUGUUGAGUUUAAUAUGCUCAGCAAUUGACGUUACCGACAGAAGAAGCACCGGCUAACUCCG
rnacentral:rRNA from 1 species